CCAUCGAAGAGUUGUAUCAAAGGAAAUUAGAUUACUAUUAUAGUUUUCAAAAUCGGACUCGUAGAACAGGGAA
rnacentral:sRNA from 20 species